rnacentral:rRNA from 1 species
UACGGAGGGUGCGAGCGUUGUUCGGAAUUACUGGGCGUAAAGGGCGCGUAGGCGGUCCGAUAAGUCCCGUGUGAAAUCCCUCGGCUCAACUGAGGAAUGGCACGGGAAACUGCCGGGCUUGAGUUCGGGAGAGGGAAGCGGAAUUCCGGGUGUAGCGGUGAAAUGCGUAGAUAUCCGGAGGAACACCGGUGGCGAAGGCGGCUUCCUGGACCGACACUGACGCUGAGGCGCGAAAGCUAGGGGAGCAAACGGG